rnacentral:lncRNA from 1 species
CCUGCCCCGCCUUAACUGAUGACAUUCCACCAUUGUGAUUUGUUCCUGCCCCACCUUAGCUGAGUGAUUAACCCUGUGAAUUUCCUUCUCCUGGCUCAGAAGCUCCCCGACUGAGCACCUUGUGACCCCCGCCCCUGCCCACCAGAGAACAACCCCCUUUGACUGUAAUUUUCCAUUACCUUCCCAAAUCCUAUAAAACGGCCCCACCCCUAUCUCCCUUCGCUGACUCUCUUUUCGGACUCAGCCCGCCUGCACCCAGGUGAAAUAGACAGCCAUGUUGCUCACACAAAGCCUGUUUGCUGGUCUCUUCACACUGACUCGAGUGAAAUUUGGUGCCGUGACUAGGAUCGGGGGACCUCCCUUGGGAGAUCAAUCCCCCGUCCUCCUACACUUUGCUCUGUGAGAAAGAUCCACCUACAACCUCAGGUCCUCAGACCAACCAGCCCAAGAAACAUCUCACCAAUUUCAAAUCCGGUAAGCGGCCUCUUUUUACUCUUUUCUCCAGCUUCCCUCACUGUCCCUCAACCUCUUUCUCCUUUCAAUCUUGGUGCCACACUUCAAUCUCUCCCUUCUCUUAAUUUCAAUUCCUUUCAUUUUCUGGUAGAGACAAAGGAGACACGUUUUAUCCGUGGACCCAAAACUCCGGCGCCAGUCACGGACUGGGAAGGCAGCCUUCCCUUGGUGUUAAAUCACUGCAGGGACGCCUCUCUGAUUAUUCACCCAUGUUUCAAAGGUGUCAGACCACGCAGGGACGCCUGCCUUGGUCCUUCACCCUUAGUGGCAAGUCCUGCUUUUCUGGGGAAGGGGCAAGUACCCCAACCCCUUCUCUCUGUGUCUCUACCCCUUCUCUGCUUUUCUGGGGGAGGGGCAAGUACCCCUCAACCCCUUCUCCUUCACCCUUAGUGACAAGUCCUGCUUUUCUAGGAGGCAAGAACCCCCAAUCCCUUAUUUCCACACCCUGACCUCUUAUCUCUGUGCCCCAAUCCCUUAUUUCCACACCCCAACCUCUUAUCUCUGUGCCCCAAUCCCUUAUUUCCGUGCCCCAACCCCCCUUCCCACUUUUCUGGAGGAUAAGAACCCCCGAACCCCUUCCCUCCGUGUCUCUAUGCUCUCUUUUCUCUGGGUUUGCCUCCUUCACUAUGGGCAACCUUCCACCUACCAUUCCUCCUUCUUCUCCUUUAGCCUAUAUUCUUAAGAAUUUAAAACCUCUUCAACUCUCACCUGACCUAAAAUCUAAGCAUCUUAUUUUCUUCUGCAAUGCCACUUGACCCCAAUACAAACUUGACAGUAGUUCCAAAUAGCCAGAAAAUGGCACUUCCAAUUUUUCCAUCCUACAAGAUCUAAAUAAUUCUUUUCGUAAAAUGGGCAAAUGGUCUGAGGUGCCUGACAUCCAGGCAUUCUUUUACACAAUAGUCCCUUCCUAGUCUCUGUGCCCAGUGCAACUUCUCCCAAAUCUUCCUUCUUUCCCUCCUGCCUGUCCCCUCAGUCCCAACCCCAAGCAUCGCUGAGUCUUUCUAAUCUUCCUUUUCUACAGACCCAUCUGACCUCUCCCCUCCUUGCCAGGCCAAGCUACGUCCCAAUUCUUCCUCAGCCUCCGCUCCUCCACCCUGCAAUCUUUUUAUCACCUCCCCUCCUCACACCUGGUCCUGCUUACAGUUUCAUUCUGUGACUAGCCCUCCCCCACCUGCCCAGCAAUUUACUCUUAAAAAAGUGGCUGGAGCCAAAGGCAUAGUCAAGGUUAAUGCUCCUUUUUCUUUAUGCCAAAUCAGAAGUGUUUAGGCUCUUUUUCAUCAAAUAUAAAAACCCAGCCCAGUUCAUGGCUCGUUUGGCAGCAACCCUGAGACGCUUCACAGCCCUAGACCCUAAAAGGUCAAAAGGCCAUCUUAUUCUCAAUAUACAUUUUAUUACCCAAUCUGCUCCUAACAUUAAAUAAAACCCCAAAAAUUGGAAUCUGGUCCUCAAACCCCACAACAGGACUUAAUUAACCUCACCUUCAAGGUGUACAAUAAUAAAAAAAAGUUGCAAUUCCUUGCCUCCACUGUGAGACAAAGCCCAGCCACAUCUCCAGCACACAAGAACUUCCAAACCCCUGAACUGCAGCAGUCAGGCAUUCCUCCAGAACCUCCUCCCCCAGGAGCUUGCUACAAGUGCCAGAAAUCUGACCACCAGGCCAAGGACUGCCGGCAGCCCAGGAUUCCUCCUAAGCCACGUCCCAUCUGUGUGGGACCCCACUGCAAAUCGGACUGUUCAACUCACCUGGCAGCCACUCCCAGAGCCCCUGGAACUCUGGCCCAAGGCUCUCUGACUGACUCCUUCCCAGAUCUUCUCGGCUUAGCGGCUGAAGACUGACACUGCCCGAUUGCCUCGGAAGCCCCCUAGACCAUCAUGGACGCCGAGCUUCAGUGAUAGAUCACAACAAGAGAUCAUGAAGAGGGCAUGGCCGCCAUGUCAUUCUGGAGAGAGACAGAGUAAAACAAAGAAGGUGAUGGGUAAAGCGCAGUCGCCUGCUAUAUAUUGUCUAUUUUUGGUUUUUCACUUACCUUUUAUAUUUAUGCCUUUUAUGUACAACAGGAUUAUAAGCAGCUUGAGUCCAGUGAAUAUACCAUUUCAUUUUGCUAUCCUUCACUGCACUUAGCUUAGAGGAAAUAAUCACAGCUUAUUAUUGAUUAAUUAAUUAAUAGAUGAAUGGUGAACAGAUGAUUAUCAUCCCAAGAAAUGGGAUUUUUUUAAUUCUGGGCAACUAGGAAAGUUUUUAGCUACAGAGAAAUAUUGACAUGGGCAACAACUUCAUCUUACAGCAAAAAGUCCUUUUUUUUUUUUUUUUUUUCUUUUUGGAGACAGAGUCUUGUUCUGCAACCCAGGCUGGAGUGGAGGGCAGUGGUGUGAUCUCGGCUCACUUCAACCUCCGCCUCUUAGGUUCAAGUGAUUCUCCUGCCUCAGCCUCCCGAGUAGCUGGGACUACAGCAGCCUCUCUACAAGUCUCCUAACUUAACCUGAUGGGAAAACACUUCCUACCACUAACAGCAUCUACUUGAUUACUGAUACUUUGAUCAUGGAGUUUGGGCAUGCCACUUGAUAGAAAUUUGAAGAGCAAUUAUAUUUUUCAAAAAGAGUUUUGAAUAAUGUUAAGAUAGAUUGCAACAUGACUAUCAAUUCUUCCCUUCCCAUCAAAGGAGAGAGUCCGUUUAUCCAGCCUUUGAAUCUUGAUUAUUCAUGUGACUUGCUUCACCCAAUGUAACAUUAAUAAGCACAAUACAAGCAGAGGCUUGCCAAGAACUUGGUUUGUUUCUAAUGCUUAGAAGAAGAAUGGUGUAUGCCAUAUUUCUGCAUUUAGAACUCACGUGGAGACAUGUGUGGCCCAAUUGCUUCUCUUUCAUCUCAGGCAAUAACCAGACACGGGACUGAGGCCAUCCAUGACCAGCCAGCCCUAGCCAACACACAACACACAAGCUGAUCACAGAUGCAUGAGUAAGCCUGAGACCAGCCAAGACCAGCCUAGAAUAGAACUGCUCAGCAGCAAUAAAAACUAAAUAAAUUGUUACCUUAAGCUACUUUUAGAGCUAUUUGGAAGUGUAUUUUUGUGCAGCUAACAUUUACUAGCAGAUAAAAUGGUGAUUGUUUAUCUCUGUUUUAUUGAUGUUUUAAGGAAAUUGUUUCUAUUAAAAGGAAAUAUCUGGUCUUUGUCACGUUAAAUCAGGUUUAGCCUGAAGUUGUCUCCUUAAAUUUGCGGCACAACUCCCACCCUGCAAUACUUCAAAUUGUUUCACCUUUUUUGACAGAACCAAGGUAUAUCUUAAAUGUACUUGAUUGAUGUCUCAUGUCUCCCUAAAAUGUAUAAAACCAAACUGUGCUCUGACUACCUUGGGUACAUGUUCUGAGGGUCUCCUGAAGGCUGUGUCACAGGCCAUGGUCUUUCAUAUUUGGCUUAAAACAAAUCUCUUCAAAUAUUUUAUGUAGUUUGACUCUUUUCCUCAAUAGAACUCAUCAUUUAACCAGUUAAGUAUUUUGAGUUAGUUUGGGAUUAAACACGAGAGUUUUGACAGGGAGCUGAAACAAUAGUAGUUUCAUCAAAAGUUGAUUCUUGGUGCAUGUAAUUUUCUAUUACAGUGAACACAGAUAAUAAUGAUGCAUAUGUCUUUACCUAGAUUAGAGAAAGGAAGAGAAAAAAUAAAAAUUUUGGAAAUGAGAUAAAAAGAUAUUGAUCUCACUGAUGUUUCUGAAUCUAAGACUGAACUCAAUUAUUAGUUGUAUUUACUGCUUAUUAGAUUUACUAAGAAAGUUCUUUAAGGUACUUACAGCCCUAAAAUUAUUUGCAAUAUUCAAUAGCAAGGGACUUAAAUACAGUCCUGAUUACUCCAUCACAAAAUGCCAAAAACAAUUAGGAUCUUAAAGGAACUACCCAAAUAGGUUUAAGAUAUCACUCAGGCCAUAAAAAUGUUUUUAAAAUUCACAUCACAAAAUAGCCAAAUGACAUAUCAGAAACAAAAGCAAAAAAGUCAUCCUAAUUCAAGGCAAUUACUUUAGCAAUUCAAAAUAAAAUGUUAAAAGUGACCAAAAAACAAAUGCAAAAUAUUUUAAUGACUUUAAAUGGCUGUAUAAUUUCCUCAUCACUUCACUUGGCAGAGUUAAGAUGGCAUUUAACCUAAGUUCACAUCAUUAAAAAAAACACUGCACCAUGAUGCUUUUCUUAAUAUGCAUUCUCAAAUUAGCAUACAGAGAAAAAUGAAACUAUAGUAGAGACGUAAAUUUAAUCCCUAUUUAGGUCACUAGGCAUUUAUUAGCCCCACCACAGGUUAAUACACUUGCAUUUGCAUCUGUUUCUAAAUGCUAAUUAUCUGACCUCAGAACACUCACUUAUGGGCUUCAUUUAUUGAAAAACAAAUCCCUAUGAUUUGAUCGUAGAGUAACUUUUAAUGUCUAACUUUACGUAGUAUAUUACAGUUUUCAAAACAUUUUUAUAAAAAGUAUUUUGUUUAUUUACAGCAACUAUAUAUCAUAGAUAUUAAUGUGUAUAUUUUGCAUUUAAGCAAGUUGGAGUUCGUAAGGUUGAAUUACUUGAAAUGUACAAAUAGAUAGUAGUGAAUAUUUAAAGUACAUUUUUAAAAAUAUGACCCAGAAAAAUAGGUGGCAUUUAAGAAAUAUAAGCAUGGUAUCUAUCUUACAUGUAUAUUAGGAGUGGACAGUUUUCUAAGAUUAGAAGCAAACAGUUGUCAAGCAAGGGUUCUAAUUUUUGUAAGUCUUGUGGGAAAGAAAGAUAAUAGAGGGUUUCAUUGCAAAGAUAUAAAACUACUCUAGAUAAUUUAAGCAAAAACUAAUCUAAUAAAUUGGGUUUUCCAAAUUAUUGAAACACCUUGAGAACUAGUGCCUGGGUAGGCCUGGAGAAAUGACUCCAGGAACAGCAUUACAGAACUCACCUGCCCAGUGGUAACAGUGCCCAGAUUGCUCUUCUCCAUUAUCCAGCCAGAGUUCCAGAUCAGCCUGAAUACUUCACCUCUGGGAAGACUUUGCAGAACCUCCAGAUUUAUGCCACCUCUAUAACCUGUGUAAUAUUAUUACAAUGCAUAUUAUGUUCUAUUUCACUUACAGUCAGCCCUCCUUAUCUGUGGGUUCCACAAACAUGGAUUCAACCCACAGUAAAAUGAAAAUAUUUGGGGAAAAAAUUAAUGUUUGAGUCUGUAUUGAACACGUAGACUUUUUCUUGUCACUGUUCCCUAAACAAUACAGUAUAACAACUAUUUACAUAGUAUUUACAUUAUAUUGGGCAUUAUAAGUAAUUAAAGAUGAUUUAAGUAUAUGGAAAGAUGUAUAUAGGUUAUAUGCAAGUACUGUGCCAUUUUAUAUAAAGCACUUGAACAUCACAGAUUUUGGUAUCAAUGAGGGGUGCUGAAACCAAUUGCCCAUGGAUACCAAGAGACAGCUAUAUUUGUUUCAAUGUGUACCUCUCCUUCUAAACUCAGUUCUUAAGCAUAUAGUAUCUUUAUAGCUAUACACCUAGUGUCUAUCAGACCCUAAACUAUGGUAGGCCCUCAAUACAUUUUAUUGUUAUAGGUAGAUAGAUAGGCAUGAGUAGGGCAGGAGAGGGCUCUCCCUCCACCCACUAGAAAUGUCAAGUGAUGUUUUAAAAAUUGUCACACUGCCUCUCAGAAAAUGAUAAUUCAGCAACCGGGGAGAGACAAUCUUCUGAUGGUCCACACCUAUUAACAUUAAAGUGUUAUUAAAGGCAGACCCCAGAAAGAAGAAACUUACUGGGCAUGCACAUUAAGAGAUAAAAACGGCAAAAUAUUAUCUUCCACGUACCCACAACUGGAAAAAAGGAAGAAAGCUUCAGGUGGGCAUAUGUACUCUUCCUAAACACACUGCGCAUGCUCACUUCCCAACUGUAGAGAGGGCUCUGCACAUACGGGAAGAAUCUCGGGAAAGAGGUGAACCUAUAAAAGGCCAAGAAUCAUGGUUGAACGGGACAUUUGACCUUCUCUCUUAAACCUUCAUGUGCCUGCUUGGGUCUCUUCCAACUGCACCUUCCUUUCUUUCCUGUUCUAAGGCCUUUUUAAAUAAACUUCCACUCAUGCUCUG